CCCUUAGAUGUUCUGGGCCGCACGCGCGCUACACUGACGAAGUCAGCGAGCAUGUCCUACGCCGACAGGUGCGGGGAAUCUUGUCAAACUUCGUCGUGAUGGGGAUUGAUUAUUGAAAUUCUUGAUCAUCAACGAGGAAUUCCUAGUAAGCGCAAGUCAGCAGCUUGCGUUGAUUACGUCCCUGCCCUUUGUACACACCGCCCGUCGCUACUACCGAUUGAAUGGUUUAGUGAGAUCUUCGGAUUGGCGCCACUGCGGCUCAGCAAUGGGCUCGGUGGGUGCCGAAAAGUUGAUCAAACUUGAUCAUUUAGAGGAAGUAAAAGUCGUAACA
rnacentral:rRNA from 1 species